GACGAACGCUGGCGGCGUGCUUAACACAUGCAAGUCGAACGGAAAGGCCCUGCUUUUGUGGGGUUCUCGAGUGGCGAACGGGUGAGUAACACGUGUGUAACCUGCCCUUUACUUUGGGAUAACUUCAGGAAACUGGGGCUAAUACCGGAUAGGAUCUCCUGCUGCAUGGUGGGGGUUGGAAAGUUUCGGCGGUUGGGGAUGGACUCGCGGCUUAUCAGCUUGUUGGUGGGGUAGUGGCUUACCAAGGCUUUGACGGGUAGCCGGCCUGAGAGGGUGACCGGAGACAUUGGGACUGAGAUACGGCCCAGAGUCCUACGGGAGGCAGCAGUGGGGAAUAUUGCAAAAUGGGCGGAAGCCUGAUGCAGCAACGCCGGGUGCGGGAUGACGGCCUUCGGGUUGUAAACCGAUUUCGCAUGUGACGAAGCGUGAGUGACGGUAAUGGGUAAAGAAGCACCGGCUAACUACGUG
rnacentral:rRNA from 1 species